AGUCUGCCCCCUUUGAAGAGCAGCAGCCUGGCUUCUGGUGGCCACAGCAGCAGCCUUUACAUCCAGUUUUUUCUCAUGAAGUCUCUUCUGGUUGGAAACUUAACAAAUUUCAUCAGCCACUCCAGUGAUUUCCAGAAAAUGAAGAGUCUGAAUUGUUCUGGCUGUCCGGAAC